rnacentral:rRNA from 1 species
AUUGAACGCUGGCGGCAUGCCUUACACAUGCAAGUCGAACGGUAACAGGUUAAGCUGACGAGUGGCGAACGGGUGAGUAAUGUAUCGGAACGUGCCCAGUCGUGGGGGAUAACUACUCGAAAGAGUGGCUAAUACCGCAUACGACCUGAGGGUGAAAGCGGGGGACCGUAAGGCCUCGCGCGAUUGGAGCGGCCGAGACCAGAUUGGCUAGUGGGUGGGGUAAAAGCCCACCAAGGCGACGAUCUGUAGCUGGUCUGAGAGGACGACCAGCCACACUGGGACUGAGACACGGCCCAGACUCCUACGGGAGGCAGCAGUGGGGAAUUUUGGACAAUGGACGCAAGUCUGAUCCAGCCAUGCCGCGUGCGGGAAGAAGGCCUUCGGGUUGUAAACCGCUUUUGUCAGGGAAGAAACGAGUUUCUCUAAUACAGAGACUUAAUGACGGUACCUGAAGAAUAAGCACCGGCUAACUACGUGCCAGCCGCCGCGGUAAAAC